rnacentral:tRNA from 1 species
CCCCCGGUAGCUCAGUGGUUAGAUGAGGGGGGUAAACCCCUCAAACGAGAGCGGCCGGCUGUAGACCGGCAGGUCGGCGGUUCGAAUCCGCCCCGGGGGA